GACGAACGCUGGCGGCGUGCUUAACACAUGCAAGUCGAACGGAAAGGCCCUGCUUUUGUGGGGUGCUCGAGUGGCGAACGGGUGAGUAACACGUGAGUAACCUGCCCUUGACUUUGGGAUAACUUCAGGAAACUGGGGCUAAUACCGGAUAGGAGCUCCUGCUGCAUGGUGGGGGUUGGAAAGUUUCGGCGGUUGGGGAUGGACUCGCGGCUUAUCAGCUUGUUGGUGGGGUAGUGGCUUACCAAGGCUUUGACGGGUAGCCGGCCUGAGAGGGUGACCGGCCACAUUGGGACUGAGAUACGGCCCAGACUCCUACGGGAGGCAGCAGUGGGGAAUAUUGCACAAUGGGCGGAAGCCUGAUGCAGCAACGCCGCGUGCGGGAUGACGGCCUUUCGGUUGUAAACCGCUUUCGCCUGUGACGAAGCGUGAGUGACGGUAAUGGGUAAAGAAGCACCGGCUAACUACGUGCCAGCAGCCGCGGUGAUACGUAGGGUGCGAGCGUUGUCCGGAUUUAUUGGGCGUAAAGGGCUCGUAGGUGGUUGAUCGCGUCGGAAGUGUAAUCUUGGGGCUUAACCCUGAGCGUGCUUUCGAUACGGGUUGACUUGAGGAAGGUAGGGGAGAAUGGAAUUCCUGGUGGAGCGGUGGAAUGCGCAGAUAUCAGGAGGAACACCAGUGGCGAAGGCGGUUCUCUGGGCCUUUCCUGACGCUGAGGAGCGAAAGCGUGGGGAGCGAACAGGCUUAGAUACCCUGGUAGUCCACGCUGUAAACGGUGGGUACUAGGUGUGGGGUCCAUUCCACGGGUUCCGUGCCGUAGCAAACGCUUUAAGUACCCCGCCUGGGGAGUACGGCCGCAAGGCUAAAACUCAAAGGAAUUGACGGGGCCCCGCACAAGCGGCGGAGCAUGCGGAUUAAUUCGAUGCAACGCGUAGAACCUUACCUGGGUUUGACAUGGAUCGGGAGUGCUCAGAGAUGGGUGUGCCUCUUUUGGGGUCGGUUCACAGGUGGUGCAUGGCUGUCGUCAGCUCGUGUCGUGAGAUGUUGGGUUAAGUCCCGCAACGAGCGCAACCCUUGUUCACUGUUGCCAGCACGUUAUGGUGGGGACUCAGUGGAGACCGCCGGGGUCAACUCGGAGGAAGGUGGGGAUGACGUCAGGUCAUCAUGCCCCUUAUGUCCAGGGCUUCACGCAUGCUACAAUGGCUGGUACAGAGAGUGGCGAGCCUGUGAGGGUGAGCGAAUCUCGGAAAGCCGGUCUCAGUUCGGAUUGGGGUCUGCAACUCGACCUCAUGAAGUCGGAGUCGCUAGUAAUCGCAGAUCAGCAACGCUGCGGUGAAUACGUUCCCGGG
rnacentral:rRNA from 1 species